rnacentral:rRNA from 1 species
AAAUUUGAAAUCUGGCCUCUUUGCGGGGUCCGAGUUGUAGUUUGCAGAGGGAGCUUUGGCUUGUGGGAGCGUUCUAAGUCCCUUGGAACAGGGCAUCACAGAGGGUGAGAAUCCCGUACGUGAGCGCCCCUGCUGCCGUGUAAAGCCCCUUCGACGAGUCGAGUUGUUUGGGAAUGCAGCUCUAAUUGGGAGGUAAAUUUCUUCUAAAGCUAAAUACUGGCCAGAGACCGAUAGCGCACAAGUAGAGUGAUCGAAAGAUGAAAAGCACUUUGGAAAGAGAGUCAAAUAGCACGUGAAAUUGUUGAAAGGGAAGCGCUUGCAGCCAGACUUGCCCGCAGUUGCUCACCUGGGCUCACGCCCGGGGCACUCUUCUGCGGGCAGGCCAGCAUCAGUUUGGGCAGCCGGAUACAGGCCUCUGUCACGUAUCUUCCUUCGGGAUGACCUUAUAGGGGAGUCGUAACACGGUUAGCCCGGACUGAGGUCCGCGCAUUUUGCUAGGAUGCUGGCGUAAUGGCUGUAAGCGGCCCGUCUUGAAACACGGACCAAGGAGUCUAACAUCUAUGCGAGUGUUUGGGUGUCAAGCCCGGGCGCGCAAUGAAAGUGAACGGAGGUGGGAACCCUUUCGGGGGCGCACCAUCGACCGAUCCUGAAGUCUUCGGAUGGAUUUGAGUAAGAGCAUAGCUGUUGGGACCCGAAAGAUGGUGAACUAUGCUUGAAUAGGGUGAAGCCAGAGGAAACUCUGGUGGAG